rnacentral:lncRNA from 14 species
CAGCACACUCACUACUUCUGCACUGGUGUUUUCUCCCAAUAGCUCUCUGAUGUCCAUCACACUAAUUCUUGAAGCCAGACUCCAAGCCACCAAGCCUUUUCCAAGCUACAGGUUGUUGCAAAGAGGAAGUAUCAUCCAUCCUUCGUAUCUUAACAUAACCCUGGUCUUGUACCAUGGAGCCAUGUGUCAUGGUAAUGCUCAGCCUACUAUCAGGCUGAUGACCCAUUUCACCUCAGAUCGUCAGUUGCUUCUACUCUGCUGAGCUCCUUGAACAGCCAGGGAUAUGGUGACACAACCAGAGACUGAGUGAAGG